GAUGAACGCUAGCUACAGGCUUAACACAUGCAAGUCGAGGGGCAGCAUGAUUGAAGCUUGCUUCAAUCGAUGGCGGCCGGCGCACGGGUGAGUAACACGUAUCCAACCUGCCGAUAACUCGGGGAUAGCCUUUCGAAAGAAAGAUUAAUACCCGAUAGUAUAGUAUUUCCGCAUGGUUUCACUAUUAAAGAACUUCGGUUAUCGAUGGGGAUGCGUUCCAUUAGAUAGUUGGCGGGGUAACGGCCCACCAAGUCAACGAUGGAUAGGGGUUCUGAGAGGAAGGUCCCCCACAUUGGAACUGAGACACGGUCCAAACUCCUACGGGAGGCAGCAGUGAGGAAUAUUGGUCAAUGGACGAGAGUCUGAACCAGCCAAGUAGCGUGAAGGAUGACUGCCCUAUGGGUGGUAAACUUCUUUUAUACGGGAAUAAAGUGGAGUAUGCAUACUCCUUUGUAUGUACCGUAUGAAUAAGGAGCGGCUAACUCCGUG
rnacentral:rRNA from 1 species